GGGUUGUGAGGUUAAGCGACUAAGCGUACACGGUGGAUGCCCUGGCAGUCAGAGGCGAUGAAGGACGUGCUAAUCUGCGAUAAGCGUCGGUAAGGUGAUAUGAACCGUUAUAACCGGCGAUUUCCGAAUGGGGAAACCCAGUGUGAUUCGUCACACUAUCAUUAACUGAAUCCAUAGGUUAAUGAGGCGAACCGGGGGAACUGAAACAUCUAAGUACCCCGAGGAAAAGAAAUCAACCGAGAUUCCCCCAGUAGCGGCGAGCGAACGGGGAGGAGCCCAGAGCCUGAAUCAGUGUGUGUGUUAGUGGAAGCGUCUGGAAAGGCGCGCGAUACAGGGUGACAGCCCCGUACACAAAAAUGCACAUGCUGUGAGCUCGAUGAGUAGGGCGGGACACGUGGUAUCCUGUCUGAAUAUGGGGGGACCAUCCUCCAAGGCUAAAUACUCCUGACUGACCGAUAGUGAACCAGUACCGUGAGGGAAAGGCGAAAAGAACCCCGGCGAGGGGAGUGAAAAAGAACCUGAAACCGUGUACGUACAAGCAGUGGGAGCACGCUUAGGCGUGUGACUGCGUACCUUUUGUAUAAUGGGUCAGCGACUUAUAUUCUGUAGCAAGGUUAACCGAAUAGGGGAGCCGAAGGGAAACCGAGUCUUAACUGGGCGUUAAGUUGCAGGGUAUAGACCCGAAACCCGGUGAUCUAGCCAUGGGCAGGUUGAAGGUUGGGUAACACUAACUGGAGGACCGAACCGACUAAUGUUGAAAAAUUAGCGGAUGACUUGUGGCUGGGGGUGAAAGGCCAAUCAAACCGGGAGAUAGCUGGUUCUCCCCGAAAGCUAUUUAGGUAGCGCCUCGUGAAUUCAUCUCCGGGGGUAGAGCACUGUUUCGGCAAGGGGGUCAUCCCGACUUACCAACCCGAUGCAAACUGCGAAUACCGGAGAAUGUUAUCACGGGAGACACACGGCGGGUGCUAACGUCCGUCGUGAAGAGGGAAACAACCCAGACCGCCAGCUAAGGUCCCAAAGUCAUGGUUAAGUGGGAAACGAUGUGGGAAGGCCCAGACAGCCAGGAUGUUGGCUUAGAAGCAGCCAUCAUUUAAAGAAAGCGUAAUAGCUCACUGGUCGAGUCGGCCUGCGCGGAAGAUGUAACGGGGCUAAACCAUGCACCGAAGCUGCGGCAGCGACACUAUGUGUUGUUGGGUAGGGGAGCGUUCUGUAAGCCUGUGAAGGUGUACUGUGAGGUAUGCUGGAGGUAUCAGAAGUGCGAAUGCUGACAUAAGUAACGAUAAAGCGGGUGAAAAGCCCGCUCGCCGGAAGACCAAGGGUUCCUGUCCAACGUUAAUCGGGGCAGGGUGAGUCGACCCCUAAGGCGAGGCCGAAAGGCGUAGUCGAUGGGAAACAGGUUAAUAUUCCUGUACUUGGUGUUACUGCGAAGGGGGGACGGAGAAGGCUAUGUUGGCCGGGCGACGGUUGUCCCGGUUUAAGCGUGUAGGCUGGUUUUCCAGGCAAAUCCGGAAAAUCAAGGCUGAGGCGUGAUGACGAGGCACUACGGUGCUGAAGCAACAAAUGCCCUGCUUCCAGGAAAAGCCUCUAAGCAUCAGGUAACAUCAAAUCGUACCCCAAACCGACACAGGUGGUCAGGUAGAGAAUACCAAGGCGCUUGAGAGAACUCGGGUGAAGGAACUAGGCAAAAUGGUGCCGUAACUUCGGGAGAAGGCACGCUGAUAUGUAGGUGAAGUCCCUCGCGGAUGGAGCUGAAAUCAGUCGAAGAUACCAGCUGGCUGCAACUGUUUAUUAAAAACACAGCACUGUGCAAACACGAAAGUGGACGUAUACGGUGUGACGCCUGCCCGGUGCCGGAAGGUUAAUUGAUGGGGUCAGCGCAAGCGAAGCUCUUGAUCGAAGCCCCGGUAAACGGCGGCCGUAACUAUAACGGUCCUAAGGUAGCGAAAUUCCUUGUCGGGUAAGUUCCGACCUGCACGAAUGGCGUAAUGAUGGCCAGGCUGUCUCCACCCGAGACUCAGUGAAAUUGAACUCGCUGUGAAGAUGCAGUGUACCCGCGGCAAGACGGAAAGACCCCGUGAACCUUUACUAUAGCUUGACACUGAACAUUGAGCCUUGAUGUGUAGGAUAGGUGGGAGGCUUUGAAGUGUGGACGCCAGUCUGCAUGGAGCCGACCUUGAAAUACCACCCUUUAAUGUUUGAUGUUCUAACGUUGACCCGUGAUCCGGGUUGCGGACAGUGUCUGGUGGGUAGUUUGACUGGGGCGGUCUCCUCCUAAAGAGUAACGGAGGAGCACGAAGGUUGGCUAAUCCUGGUCGGACAUCAGGAGGUUAGUGCAAUGGCAUAAGCCAGCUUGACUGCGAGCGUGACGGCGCGAGCAGGUGCGAAAGCAGGUCAUAGUGAUCCGGUGGUUCUGAAUGGAAGGGCCAUCGCUCAACGGAUAAAAGGUACUCCGGGGAUAACAGGCUGAUACCGCCCAAGAGUUCAUAUCGACGGCGGUGUUUGGCACCUCGAUGUCGGCUCAUCACAUCCUGGGGCUGAAGUAGGUCCCAAGGGUAUGGCUGUUCGCCAUUUAAAGUGGUACGCGAGCUGGGUUUAGAACGUCGUGAGACAGUUCGGUCCCUAUCUGCCGUGGGCGCUGGAGAACUGAGGGGGGCUGCUCCUAGUACGAGAGGACCGGAGUGGACGCAUCACUGGUGUUCGGGUUGUCAUGCCAAUGGCACUGCCCGGUAGCUAAAUGCGGAAGAGAUAAGUGCUGAAAGCAUCUAAGCACGAAACUUGCCCCGAGAUGAGUUCUCCCUGACUCCUUGAGAGUCCUGAAGGAACGUUGAAGACGACGACGUUGAUAGGCCGGGUGUGUAAGCGCAGCGAUGCGUUGAGCUAACCGGUACUAAUGAACCGUGAGGCUUAACCUUACAACGCCGAAG
rnacentral:rRNA from 1 species